rnacentral:rRNA from 1 species
GUGCAGCAGUCGCGAAACCUCCGCAAUACACGAAAGUGUGACGGGGCCAUCCCGAGUGCCGUCCGCUGAGGACGGCUUUUCCCCAGUGUACACAGCUGGGGGAAUAAGGAGAGGGCAAGCCUGGUGUCAGCCGCCGCGGUAAUACCAGCUCUCCGAGUGGUGGGGACGCUUAUUGGGCCUAAAGCAUCCGUAGCCGGCUGGGCAAGUCCUCCGUUAAAUCCAACGAUUCAAUCGUUGGGCUGCGGGGGAUACUGUCCAGCUUGGGGGCGGGAGAGGCCGACGGUAUUCCCGGGGUAGGGGUGAAAUCCUAUAAUCCCGGGAGGACCGCCAGUGGCGAAGGCUGUCGGCUAGAACGCGCCCGACGGUGAGGGAUGAAAGCUGGGGGAGCGAACCGGAUUAGAUACCCCCGUAGU